UCCGUAGGGUCCGAGCGUUGUCCGGAAUUAUUGGGCGUAAAGGGCUCGUAGGCGGUCCGUCACGUCGGGAGUGAAAACUCAGGGCUCAACCCUGAGCGUGCUUCCGAUACGGGCGGACUAGAGGUAUGCAGGGGAGAACGGAAUUCCUGGUGUAGCGGUGGAAUGCGCAGAUAUCAGGAGGAACACCGGUGGCGAAGGCGGUUCUCUGGGCAUUACCUGACGCUGAGGAGCGAAAGCAUGGGGAGCGAACAGG
rnacentral:rRNA from 1 species